AAAAAAGCAAAGCUCUAUUUCAUAUUAGAAUGGGGCUUCCGUAAACAUCAGGGAGAUCAAAUGCGUCGUUAUUGGGUGAACCUCUGUUUUGUUUAGUGGCUGAAGGUUCAGUAAAUGAUGUAACAUUC
rfam:Beta vulgaris subsp. vulgaris Bvchr6.sca027.con0174.1, whole genome shotgun sequence.